CAGUAGCCGCGGUAAUACAGAGGGUGCGAGCGUUAAUCGGAUUUACUGGGCGUAAAGCGUGCGUAGGCGGCUUUUUAAGUCGGAUGUGAAAUCCCUGAGCUUAACUUAGGAAUUGCAUUCGAUACUGGGAAGCUAGAGUAUGGGAGAGGAUGGUAGAAUUCCAGGUGUAGCGGUGAAAUGCGUAGAGAUCUGGAGGAAUACCGAUGGCGAAGGCAGCCAUCUGGCCUAAUACUGACGCUGAGGUACGAAAGCGUGGGUAGCGAACAGGAUUAGAUACCCGCGUAGUCCCUGUCUCUUAUAC
rnacentral:rRNA from 1 species